GAGUUUGAUCCUGGCUCAGAAUCAACGCUGGCGGCGUGCCUCAGACAUGCAAGUCGAACGCGAAAGUUUCCUUCGGGAAACGAGUAGAGUGGCGCACGGGUGAGUAACACGUAGGUAAUCUACCUUCGGAUGGGGAAUAACAAUCGGAAACGGUUGCUAAUACCGCAUAAUGCAGCGGCACCUAAUGGUGACAGUUGUUAAAGCGGGGGAUCGCAAGACCUCGCGUCUGAAGAGGAGCCUGCGGCGGAUUAGCUAGUUGGUAAGGUAAUGGCUUACCAAGGCUACGAUCCGUAACCGGCCUGAGAGGGCGGUCGGUCACACUGACACUGACAUACGGGUCAGACUCCUACGGGAGGCAGCAGUCGGGAAUUUUGGGCAAUGGGCGAAAGCCUGACCCAGCAACGCCGCGUGAAGGAUGAAAUCCCUCGGGAUGUAAACUUCGCAAGAACGGGAAGAAUAAGUAGGGGACAAUACCCCCUAUGAUGACGGUACCGUUUGUAAGCUCCGGCUAACUCCGUGCCAGCAGCCGCGGUAAUACGGGGGGAGCAAGCGUUGUUCGGAUUUACUGGGCGUAAAGGGCGCGUAGGCGGCCAGCGCAAGUCAGUUGUGAAAUCUCCGAGCUUAACUCGGAAAGGUCAACUGAUACUGCGCGGCUAGAGUGCGGAAGGGGCAACUGGAAUUCUUGGUGUAGCGGUGAAAUGCGUAGAUAUCAAGAGGAACACCUGCGGCGAAGGCGGGUUGCUGGGCCGACACUGACGCUGAUGCGCGAAAGCCAGGGGAGCGAACGGGAUUAGAUACCCCGGUAGUCCUGGCCUUAAACGAUGAAUGCUUGGUGUCUGGGGUUAUAAAGUCCUUGGGUGCCGUCGCUAACGCUUUAAGCAUUCCGCCUGGGGAGUACGGUCGCAAGACUGAAACUCAAAGGAAUUGACGGGGACCCGCACAAGCGGUGGAGCAUGUGGUUUAAUUCGACGCAACGCGAAGAACCUUACCUGGGCUAGAAUGCCCGUGACAACCCUAGAGAUAGGGCCUCCAAGGUAAAACUUGGCACGGUGCAAGGUGCUGCAUGGCUGUCGUCAGCUCGUGUCGUGAG
rnacentral:rRNA from 1 species